rnacentral:sRNA from 1 species
AAUCCUUCUAAGAACAAUACCUUUUUGUACCUUCCACAUUGGAUUAUUUUAGCCUAUCGUCUUACUCAUUCUGUUUUCAAGAAGUUUAUUUCUAUCACCUUUUUUAUAUGAGCAGAAUGAUUAUGUUCAAUCAUAAGUAGUGCCAAUAUAUGAGAAACAUAAUUGUAUGUGAGCUCCAAACAUGUUUAUUUUUUAUAUGAUUGAAAAUUUAUUUCUGUGGUAUAUAUGAACAACAGUAACCAGUGAUCCUUAAUCUUCAAUUGUGAAAGAGCUAGAUGCUUCAAAUAUGUCCCAAAAAUGUCACCAUUUCUGUCUUCAUUAAACUUUGCAUUUAACAUUUAAUUACUAUAUUCAAAAGCAAUAAUUUUUUGUGCAGAAGCCCUGAAAAUUUCCCAUAAAUUACACAUUAAUAAAUAAUUGCGUGAAACACUCUUCAUCUAAAGGCAUUUCAGAAGUGCAUGCUAUGUCACAUGUGAAAAAGUAGUUGGAAGAGGGAAAAGAUGCUAUGUCUUUGUUCAGUGUUCUGACCUAUGAACAUCUGAAUGAUUAGUAGUCUAAAGUGAGUCUGAAAUAACCAGUCCAGCACAGGGGACCUGAACAGAGAGAGAUCUGGCCUGAGUUGACCACUAGUAGUCCGGUCUCUUGGGCAGGGAAACAAAGCGCAGACUGGAAGAACCCUCCUAGAACACUGGGCCCCAAAGCAGAGUGAGCCUAAGAAAACAAACAUCCUUCUCACAAGGGACCAAAUGGGUAGGUUGGGAAGAGAUCAAGUCUCAGAUGACCAUGAGACCAGUGCUAAGGGGCAUAGUCAAAGAGCUAGUCUUAGAGGGCUACUAUUAUGACACCAUAAUGCACAAACAUGACAAAGCAAUCCUGAAAUGACCCCACUAACUCUGAGACCUUGGGUGUCAUUAAGAGGAGCAAGUACAUGGUGGAGAAAUGGAAGAGAAAGAGAAACAGAAGGAUGCCCGUCCAAUGAAGAGAGGCAAAACUGGAGACUCAAGGUAGUGAGUGAUGAUGCCUCAGCUCUCCUGUGUCAGUGGGGAUGAAGAAGUACUUUUUCCACAAAGGAAGUUUCCCUGGACAUAGAGAAAACAGUCUACACUGAACUCUACAGUCAACUUCCAGCCUUCUAGUUGAAGUCACAAGAAGAAAAAGUUCCCAGGACAUGAACAACACCAAGAAUAAACAUCAUAGAAUGAUGGAAGGGAGAAACUAGAAACUUGCCUUGUUUGGCCAAAGUCUGGCAUUAACAGAUGAGCAUGCAGAUGGGAGCCCACAGGAGGAAGCAUACAUUCUUGGGGAACACACAUAUUGUGGAGAACUUACUAAAGGAGACAUAAACGGAAAUUGUGGAAGGAUCUUUCCCUUAUGGGUUCUAGGUAAGUCUUACAAGAGAUCAUUCUGGAGUAUCAGGAUGUUAUUCCUGGAGGACAGUGUAUCACGAGUUACUAAGAAUGAAGGAAACUCAAUUUAAACUGAAAGAUAAAAAUGACAUCUAUGGUCAAGGUUGGAGGAGGAAGUCUCAAUAAUGUGAGAGUAAGAGAGAGGGUACACAGUGGAAAUACCAUAAUGGAACAUUCAUACAUAAGCGUUGUGUAAAGACCUAUAGGAUGUCUCAGAGAUAUAUUGGUAAGUGCUUAUCUUGCAAUACUCACCCGAGUAUGAUCCCUAGUAUGUAGCCUUCCUCUAACAAGCAAAGCAUGUUCACACAC